GAAUAAUCGUGUUUCCCAAGAUGGCAAACUAUUUAUUUUUCUCUGUCACUAUCUUGUUGUCUUUUCAUAAUGUCUCUUUAUCUGUCCUCUAACAGGGUCCUCUUGGCCUGGAUGGGAAACCUGGUUUUCCAGGUCCCAAGGGAAGCCAGGGACCAGCCGGACCCAAGGGAGAAAAGGGUGACCAAGGAGACAUUGGGCCAAGGG